rnacentral:tRNA from 2 species
GAUGCUAUGCCAGAAAAAUUGGGUUAUCUUGAUGGGGUAAAAUAUGAGAUUAUAUCUUUAGCAUUU